rnacentral:rRNA from 1 species
AUACAGAGGGAGCAAGCGUUGUUCGGAUUUACUGGGCGUAAAGGGCGCGCAGGCGGGUGAAUAAGUCGGACGUGAAAAUUGCAGGCUCAACCUGUAACCUGCGUCCGAUACUGUUCACCUUGAGUACAGGAGAGGUGAGUGGAAUCGGCAGUGUAGCGGUGAAAUGCGUAGAUAUUGUCGAGAACACCGGUGGCGAAGGCGGCUCACUGGCCUGAUACUGACGCUGAGGCGCGAAAGCUAGGGGAGCGAACAGGAUUAGAAACCCGUGUAGUCC